AGCUAAAAAGAAGAAGCCAAAGCUCUUAAACAAGUUUGAUAAGACCAUUAAAGCUGAAUUAGAUGCUGCAGAAAAACUACGUAAAAAAGGAAAAGUUGAAGAAGCUCUAAGGGCCUUUGAAGCACUAGUGAAUCAAUAUCCACAAAGUCCUCGAGCAAGAUAUGGGAAAGCACAGUCUGAAGAUGACUUAGCUGAGAAAAUGAGAAGCAAUGAGAUGCUGCAACAAGCUAUCAACACCUACGAUGAGGUGGUUAGUCUGCCAAAUGUCCCUUCAGAUCUGAUAAAGCUCAGCUUGAAACGAGAAGCAGACAGGCAGCAGUUCCUUGGUCGCAUGAGGGGUUCCCUGAUUACUCUGCAGAAAUUAGUUCAGCUGUUUCCCAGUGAUACGUCAUUCAAGAAUGACCUUGGUGUUGGUUACCUCU